AGGGACACUCGGUCACUGAGUCACGUCCCAGCCCUAUUUUGUAUUUUAUUUAGAGACAGGGUCUUACCGGUUGCUUAGCACCUCGCUUUCUUACUGGAGUUCUUUUACAUGGGUCUUCCCACAUGGGACAACAUAGGUCAUUCGCCACUUUACAGAGGAGGAAACUGAGGUCCUGAGAAGGGAGGUUAUCACUUUCCCGUUGUCAUACACUCUAGGAGUGACCUUGAGGGAUUCAAAGGCACCUUUUUGUCCCAGGUUUUUUUGAGCCUAUCAUGCUUGGCCAGGGAAAUGAGGUUUGAGUAGGGAAGGGGGGAGUUGUUGAGAUACCUGUGAACAAUUAGGAGACCCAUGUACACACACACACACACACACACACACACAGAGAAAAUUCAUGCUGGGUGCAGUGAUGCAUACUUGUAAUCCCCACAACUUUGGAGGCUAAGGUAGGAGGAUCACAAGUUGGAAGCCAGCCUGGGCAACUUUGCAAGAUCCUGUCCAAAAAAAAAAGUGGGGAGCUGCGGAUGGAGCUCAGUGGUCAGUGGUAGAGUACCCCAGAUUCAAUCUCCAGUGCUGAAAAGAGAAAAGAUCAUGGCAGGGAGAUUUUUAUUAGCAAAAAUCUAGAAGCAAUCCAAAAAGUCAUUUACAGGAGAGUGGAUUCACGGGUGGUGACAGUCAACCAACCAAAUACCACAGAAUAGGGGAAGCGUCAAUAGGCUGCCACUCAAAUAAUUCGAGGAUGAGAAAAAAAUCUAGUGUGAUGCAGUUGACUUGUUUUCAAAAGGCAAAACAACACCGGGUACUACUUUAGGAUACAAGCCUGUAAUGGUGGUUUAGUCCCACAUAAGGUGACAAAUGCCAGGUUCUGAGAGGGGUUACUUCUCAGGGAAGAAAGGAGGACGGGGUUGGAGCACACAGAGGAC
rnacentral:lncRNA from 1 species